rnacentral:rRNA from 1 species
AGAGUUUGAUCAUGGCUCAGAUUGAACGCUGGCGGCAGGCCUAACACAUGCAAGUCGAGCGGUAGCACAGAGAGCUUGCUCUCGGGUGACGAGCGGCGGACGGGUGAGUAAUGUCUGGGAAACUGCCUGAUGGAGGGGGAUAACUACUGGAAACGGUAGCUAAUACCGCAUAAUGUCGCAAGACCAAAGUGGGGGACCUUCGGGCCUCAUGCCAUCAGAUGUGCCCAGAUGGGAUUAGCUAGUAGGUGGGGUAACGGCUCACCUAGGCGACGAUCCCUAGCUGGUCUGAGAGGAUGACCAGCCACACUGGAACUGAGACACGGUCCAGACUCCUACGGGAGGCAGCAGUGGGGAAUAUUGCACAAUGGGCGCAAGCCUGAUGCAGCCAUGCCGCGUGUGUGAAGAAGGCCUUCGGGUUGUAAAGCACUUUCAGCGGGGAGGAAGGCGNNNNNCGAUUGACGUUACCCGCAGAAGAAGCACCGGCUAACUCCGUGCCAGCAGCCGCGGUAAUACGGAGGGUGCAAGCGUUAAUCGGAAUUACUGGGCGUAAAGCGCACGCAGGCGGUCUGUCAAGUCGGAUGUGAAAUCCCCGGGCUCAACCUGGGAACUGCAUUCGAAACUGGCAGGCUAGAGUCUUGUAGAGGGGGGUAGAAUUCCAGGUGUAGCGGUGAAAUGCGUAGAGAUCUGGAGGAAUACCGGUGGCGAAGGCGGCCCCCUGGACAAAGACUGACGCUCAGGUGCGAAAGCGUGGGGAGCAAACAGGAUUAGAUACCCUGGUAGUCCACGCCGUAAACGAUGUCGAUUUGGAGGUUGUGCCCUUGAGGCGUGGCUUCCGGAGCUAACGCGUUAAAUCGACCGCCUGGGGAGUACGGCCGCAAGGUUAAAACUCAAAUGAAUUGACGGGGGCCCGCACAAGCGGUGGAGCAUGUGGUUUAAUUCGAUGCAACGCGAAGAACCUUACCUGGUCUUGACAUCCACAGAACUUUCCAGAGAUGGAUUGGUGCCUUCGGGAACUGUGAGACAGGUGCUGCAUGGCUGUCGUCAGCUCGUGUUGUGAAAUGUUGGGUUAAGUCCCGCAACGAGCGCAACCCUUAUCCUUUGUUGCCAGCGGUUAGGCCGGGAACUCAAAGGAGACUGCCAGUGAUAAACUGGAGGAAGGUGGGGAUGACGUCAAGUCAUCAUGGCCCUUACGACCAGGGCUACACACGUGCUACAAUGGCAUAUACAAAGAGAAGCGACCUCGCGAGAGCAAGCGGACCUCAUAAAGUAUGUCGUAGUCCGGAUUGGAGUCUGCAACUCGACUCCAUGAAGUCGGAAUCGCUAGUAAUCGUAGAUCAGAAUGCUACGGUGAAUACGUUCCCGGGCCUUGUACACACCGCCCGUCACACCAUGGGAGUGGGUUGCAAAAGAAGUAGGUAGCUUAACCUUCGGGAGGGCGCUUACCACUUUGUGAUUCAUGACUGGGGUGAAGUCGUAACAAGGUAACCGUAGGGGAACCUGCGGUUGGAUCACCU